rnacentral:rRNA from 1 species
AUUGAACGCUGGCGGAAUGCUUUACACAUGCAAGUCGAACGGCAGCACGGGUGCUUGCACCUGGUGGCGAGUGGCGAACGGGUGAGUAAUACAUCGGAACGUGCCCAAUCGUGGGGAAUAACGCAGCGAAAGCUGUGCUAAUACCGCAUAAGAUCUACGGAUGAAAGCAGGGGAUCGCAAGACCUUGCGCGAAUGGAGCG